rnacentral:rRNA from 1 species
AACGAACGCUGGCGGCAUGCCUAACACAUGCAAGUCGAACGAAGCCUUCGGGCUUAGUGGCGCACGGGUGCGUAACGCGUGGGAAUCUGCCCUUUGGUUCGGAAUAACAGUUGGAAACGACUGCUAAUACCGGAUGAUGACGAAAGUCCAAAGAUUUAUCGCCAGAGGAUGAACCCGGGUAGGAUUAGCUAGUUUGUGUGGUAAAGGCGCACCAAGGCGCCGAUCCUUAGCUGGUCUGAGAGGAUGAUCAGCCACACUGGGACUGAGACACGGCCCAGACUCCGACGGUAGGCAGCAGUGGGGAAUAUUGGACAAUGGGCGAAAGCCUGAUCCAACAAUGCCGCGAGUGAUGAAGGCCCUAGGGUUGUAAAGCUCUUUUACCCGGGAUGAUAAUGACAGUACCGGGAGAAUAAGCCCCGGCUAACUCCGUGCCAGCCGCCGCCGUAA